UACGUAGGGUGCAAGCGUUAAUCGGAAUUACUGGGCGUAAAGCGUGCGCAGGCGGUUUUGUAAGUCUGACGUGAAAUCCCCGGGCUUAACCUGGGAAUUGCGUUGGAGACUGCAAGGCUAGAAUCUGGCAGAGGGGGGUAGAAUUCCACGUUUAGCAGUGAAAUGCGUAGAGAUGUGGAGGAACACCGAUGGCGAAGGCAGCCCCCUGGGUCAAGAUUGACGCUCAUGCACGAAAGCGUGGGGAGCAAACAGG
rnacentral:rRNA from 1 species